GAAGUUGAACAGACCAACCUGGACAAUGAGCUUUCAGCUGUUUUCAGAAGCAAAGCAGGUCAGGUCUGGUUAGUACUCAGAUGGGAGACUGCAAGGGAAAUGUUAGAAUUCUGCA
rnacentral:rRNA from 1 species